rnacentral:lncRNA from 1 species
GACUGGAGAUGACAAAACAAUGUUAUUAUCAGAAAGAUAAAGCUCUUAAAGAUUAAGGCUAAAGUUAGACAAUAAUUGAAAUGUUGAGGAUGUCAGCAUAUUAUAAGAAAGGUCAAGGAUCACAAGAGAAGGAAAGGUUGAGUGGACCGGAGAUGACAAAACAAUGUUAUUAUGAGAAAGAUAAAGCUCUUGAAGAUUAAGGCUGAAGUUAGACAAUAAUUGAAAUGUUGAGGAUGUGAGCAUAUUAUAAGAAAGGUCAAGGAUGGUAAGAGAAUUGGAAAAGUUGGAAGUUGAAUAAAAUAGAGAAUGAAUAUGGGUAUCUGAAAGAGAACAAUGAACUAGUCUCAACUCUCCUAGCUUUGGAUAAUGAAUCAUAUGCAACCAAUCAGGGUUGUGUAAACCAUCGAUGGCAAGAUGUGUUAGGGAAGAGAGACUAGGCAGCCAGUCUGCAUCCUUGGGUUUGACAUCAAAAUCACCACCAAGUGUAAGAGUUUGCAAGUAAGGAAGAUUCCCA